UCAAUGCAUUGUGCUUUAAAAAAAAUAAUUAAACAACAACAAAAACCAACAAAAAAACAAAACAGAAAUAAGGGUCUUCUCCACAACAGGCACCAUGCUGUCAGCCUGACAGUUGGGACAGUUCACUCCACGGUCAGUUUCCAUUUGGCAGUUCUGAUGAGGUAAGUUAUUACUCCAAGCACAGCCUAACUAUUCACACCAAGAGAUGAGACCAUGUCUUAAAAUACUCUACAAAUGCAACUUUGGGGAGAAAGAGCUUAUUGUAGCUCAGUUCCACCAUUCGGGGAAGUCAAGACAAUGGGAGCGUCAGCAGCUGGUCACGUGAUGUCCACAACCAGAAAAAGAGAGCAAUCGAUGCAGACUCACUACUGCUCAACUGGCUUUCUCCGAUUUAAAGCACCUAGGAUACCAUGCCUAAGGAAUGGUGCCGCCCUCAGUGGAAGGAUCUUCCUGCCUUAACUCAGACAAUCGAGAUAAACCCCUCAGGGACAUUCUCAGAGGUCCACCUCUCAGACAUUUUAGAUUUUGUCACAUUGACAACACUAACCAUCACAGACCAAAGGAUUGUAGCUCAGAGGAUGAAGAGCGGAGGACAGGAAGAGAGCCCUGUUCACAGAGCUCUGGCAAAAUCCCCUUUGUGAGGAGCAGGUGGUGUCUCCAUGACCAUGACAAGGGCCAGAAUUUGAAAGUGUUGAUGGAUCCCUCUCACAUGAGAGUGCCCAGCACACCAUCCAGACACCUCCUGAGGCUGGAA
rnacentral:lncRNA from 1 species